rnacentral:lncRNA from 1 species
AUAGAUCAUUCACCUCCAUAUCACCUAAAAGAAGAAAGUUAAAGGCAGCAGUAUAUUUAUUUGCUGAGGGUUGUCACCGUGUUCCCUUUCCUUGCUGUGAGUGAGUGGAAGGAAGCUGCAAGAAGACCACUCACAGAGCUUGGCAUAUGCCCAUUAGUAUUCGGAGGAGGAAGCGACUGGUACCUGAUGCCUACCUGAAAAUGUCUAAUGGGAAAGAUCUGGCCAACCACUCUGAAGGCAGAGCAAGAGGAGUGUACUACAUUCAGAGGAAGCCACUCUUCUACCAAAAGCAAGGACAAGGCCCCUAGGCAGAAGGACUUCCUUUGUCUCAGAUGGGACUUUGGACUUGGACUUUUGGGUUAAUGCUGGAAUAAAUUAUGACUUUGGAGGACUGUUGGGAAGGCAUGAUUUGCUUUAAAAUGUGAAAGAGACAUGAGAUUUGACAGGGGCCAGGGCUGGAAUGACAUGGUUAGGGUUUGUGUUUCCACCUAAAUCUCAUCUUGAAUUAUAAUCCCCAUAAUCCCCAUAAUGCCCACAUGUCAAGGCAGAGACCAGGUGAAGAUAAUUGGAUGAUAGGGACAGUUUCCCUCAUGCUGUUCUCAUGAUAGUGAGUGAAUUCUCACAAGAUCUAAUGGUUUUAUAAGUGUUUGGUAGUUCCUCUUGCAUUCAUUCUCCUUCCUGCUGCCUGUGAGAAGGUGCCUUGCUUCCCCUUUGCCUUCCACCAUAAUCGUAAGUUUCCUGAGGUCUCCCAAGCCAUGUGCAACUGUGAGUCAAUUAAACCUCUUUCCUUUAUAAACU